rfam:Triticum aestivum genome assembly, contig: Triticum_aestivum_CS42_TGACv1_scaffold_129455_2BL
UACAUACUCCCUUCGUCCGGAAAUACUCGUCGGAGAAAUGGAUGUACCUUGACCUAUUUUAGUUCUAGGUACAUAUAUUUUUAUCUAUUUCUCUCACAAGUACUUUCGGACGGAGGGAGUACUAG